rnacentral:rRNA from 1 species
UACAGAGGUCUCAAGCGUUGUUCGGAUUCAUUGGGCGUAAAGGGUGCGUAGGCGGCGCGGUAAGUCGGGUGUGAAAUCUCGGGGCUUAACUCCGAAGCUGCAUUCGAUACUGCCGUGCUUGAGGACUGGAGAGGAGACUGGAAUUUACGGUGUAGCAGUGAAAUGCGUAGAGAUCGUAAGGAAGACCAGUGGCGAAGGCGGGUCUCUGGACAGUUCCUGACACUGAGGCACGAAGGCCAGGGGAGCAAACGGG